GCAACAACAGCUGCGUAGAGAGGCUCCGCACAGUCCAGUAAUUUGAGCGAGGGGACACUUUUUUAUUUUUGUUUCCAGAAAACAAAGAGAGGUUUUCUUUUUCUGAAUUCGACCACAAAUUUGAGACUACUGUUUCCCGGUGGAUGAAUGCGGCGGACACAAAAGACGAUGUGUAGUGACAACAAAUAGUGAAGUGAAGACUGAAGUGAGCUAGGAGGCUAAUCCGGCUAGCAUCUCCAGCCGAGAAGGGGCGUCCGAUUGGAGCCGCGCUGUGGAAACGAUAAAUUUUUGUAUUCUUUUUCGAAAAAAUCUUACAAAUACGCGGAUGACUUGAAAAUUCUAUAAAAAAUUCUGAAAAUUCUCGCAAGCGACGACGAAUAGAUUGGUGUGGGUUGUUUGGUGGAGCGAGGUGGUUUUGUGCAUUUUUUAAACGUUAAGUUUGAGCGGGAUUGGUGAUGUGAGCGAGACGGCCGGCGAGCCCGACAGCCUAUCAGCGAGCGAUACACCGGGAUGCCACACCGACCAACACUGUCCUAUUCUUUACUACAGUUUUUCUUCCUCUUUCAGCGUGAGAACAACGAUGACCAGAGUGCCUUUUAUUUUCUCCGUUUUUGUUUUUUGCACGAACUGUAUGUAACGUUAAUGAGUGCGCAGUCAGAAUUUUUAACUGCAAACUUUUUGUUUUUGUGGAUUUACAAAUAUGUUCGGGUGUUUUAGAAUUUGCCUGGUUGUGACAUCAGAAACUAGAAAACAAUUCAAGGUGGAGUCCUGGAAUUCCUCAAGCCCUGCUGAGAGAAAGAGAGAGAGGGAGGAGAGGAGUCACUCAC